rnacentral:rRNA from 1 species
AUUGAACGCUGGCGGCAGGCCUAACACAUGCAAGUCGAACGAGUGGCGGACGGGUGAGUAAUGUCUGGGAAACUGCCUGAUGGAGGGGGAUAACUACUGGAAACGGUAGCUAAUACCGCAUACCAUCAGCUGUACCCAGCUGGGAUGAGCUUGUUGGUGGGGUAACGGCUCACCAAGGCGACGAUCCCUAGCUGGUCUGAGAGGAUGACCAACGACACUGAAACUGAGACACGGUCCAGACUACAACGCGAGGCAGCAGUGGGGAAUAGUGCACAAUUGGCGCAAGCCUGAUGCAGCCGUGCCGCGUGUAGGAAGAGGGCCUUCGGGUUGUAAAGUACUUUCAGCAGGGAGGCGUUACCCGCAGAAGAAGCACCGGCUAAGUCCGUGCCAGCAGCCGCGGUAAUUC